rnacentral:rRNA from 1 species
CAGUCGCCGCGGGAAUACGGAGGGAGCUAGCGUUGUUCGGAAUUACUGGGCGUAAAGCGCACGUAGGCGGCUUUGUAAGUUAGAGGUGAAAGCCUGGAGCUCAACUCCAGAGUUGCCUUUAAGACUGCAUCGCUUGAAUCCGAGAGAGGUGAGUGGAAUUCCGAGUGUAGAGGUGAAAUUCGUAGAUAUUCGGAAGAACACCAGUGGCGAAGGCGGCUCACUGGCUCGGUAUUGACGCUGAGGUGCGAAAGCGUGGGGAGCAAACAGGAUUAGAUACCCGAGUAGUCCCUGUCUCUUAUAC